GUAACAGCCGCGUGAAGAGCUGCUGCCGCUGCUGGAUGAUGAUUGGCCCAUCCUGCGCACCGUACAGAUCACUCGCGCAGCUCUUUAAAUGCCACGCCCACUGCACAACGCCGCUGCUCUUGACAAGAAGAGUAAAAGUAACACAGAUUUGGAACGAUAUGAAGUGGCCACAGGAAACCUCUCAAGACAAGACCACAUUCACCACAGUUACAAGAUACGCAGUACAAACCACAAAAGAGCAAGAAUAAUUGUUGCAUUAAAAAUGCAUUGUUUACCUGAUAUUUAAUAUUAUCGAAAUGAAACAGUCAAAUAAAAAUGGAAUGAAAAUUGUACCAAUGUGAACAGUUCUGUAAGUAGGCUACUGAUAUGUAUGUAGACUUCGCUGUAUUAUUGU